CAAUCAAUUGUCAACAAAAAAUCGUCCGGCACGCUGGCGGGCUUAUAAAAAUAUGCAAAAGUAACGAACAGAACUUUACGUUACACGAUUUGUGUGACAGUUGGCCAAGUAGAAGAAUGAGGCGUUCCUAGCCAAUUAGGCCAGAUAUUCUUCAGGGCACUUGUUGUGCAUCUAAGCCGGCAGGGCAAUUUCGCAGCAUAUUUUGGAUAGUUCCCGCCACACCGCCUCACCUAACCACCUCCGAAAUGCAUCUUCCCUUAGCCUUUGGCACGGUAUUCCAUUUCCUGUUUGCUGCAUCCCCGUGCACACAGUACGGUGCACGUUUGUGGUGCGAGGAGGAGCUGUCUCCUUUUUCUGUUUGGAAAUUGUUUUGCAAAUUGCAAAUUGCUAAUGCAAAAUGCCUGUGGCUCUUUCGGGCCACGAUCGUAGUUAUUUUGCCUAAACUUCUCCUUAAUUAACACUCCAAAUUUGGCUGGCAGCUCUCCAUUCACGACGAAAGGCGCAGUGGGUAUGUGCUGAAUUAAAUAACGAGCCGCACAAUAAACGAUUAACCUUUUAGAUUUUAAUUCUUAGGUUCUGUAAUAAUGUACUUUAGUAUUUAUUUUUCAAAAUAAGAAAGCUUAUUAAAAAUU
ensembl:ncRNA lncRNA:CR31526 long non-coding RNA:CR31526